rnacentral:rRNA from 1 species
GAUCAUGGCUCAGAACGAACGCUGGCGGCAUGCCUAACACAUGCAAGUCGAACGAGACCUUCGGGUCUAGUGGCGCACGGGUGCGUAACGCGUGGGAAUCUGCCCCUCGGUUGGGAAUAACACAGAGAAAUUUGUGCUAAUACCUUAUAAUGUCUUCGGACCAAAGAUUUAUCGCCGAGGGAUGAGCCCGCGUAGGAUUAGGUAGUUGGUGGGGUAAAUGGCCUACCAAGCCGACGAUCCUUAGCUGGUCUGAGAGGAUGAUCAGCCACACUGGGACUGAGACACGGCCCAGACUCCUACGGGAGGCAGCAGUGGGGAAUAUUGGACAAUGGGCGAAAGCCUGAUCCCAGCAAUGCCGCGUGAGUGAUGAAGGCCUUAGGGUUGUAAAGCUCUUUUACCCGGGAUGAUAAUGACAGUACCGGGAGAAUAAGCUCCGGCUAACUCCGUGCCAGCCGCCGC